GCUCCCGUAGCUCAAUUGGUAGAGCACCGAGUCUAAGCAACUCGGGGGCUGCAGGUUCAAGUCCUGCCGGGAGUU
rnacentral:tRNA from 1 species